CAAGCAAAAGUGCUCUGAGUUGCUCCGGGACAAUAACACGUACCUUAGACUGGGAAAAAGGGAUCCAACUUCCAGCUAUAAGAAUGAACUGAAAGCAGUACUCCAACGAUUCCAGGAGGAAGUAGGGAACACUCAACAUCACAUCAAAAACUCACAACAAUUUGCGGAAGUGAUUAAACAGGCAAGAGUAGAGGAGGAUGAAGAACUCCGUUCAUACGACGUGACAGCACUCUUCACCUCGGUACCUGUGGAUAAAGCAGUUGAUGUGAUUUUGCAGAGGUUAAAGGAGGACCAGACCUUAUCUGAACGCACUACUUUGAAACCAGAACAGUUGGCUGAUCUACUCAGA